ensembl:lncRNA
AUUAACUACUGAUGAAAAUGAGAAAGUUCUGACUCCGGGGGUAUUGAUGCAAACAGUGGAGCAAGAACAUUAACUUUUAAAAGGCUUCCCCCCCCCCCCCCACAUUCACCAUAAAUGUUUGUCUCUGAGGCUGUAAGGUUUUCUUCCUAAGCUUUCUGAAUAUUUCAUUUUGUACAUACAUACAUAUAUAUAAAGCAAUUGCAUUAUCAGAAUAAACAGACCACUCAUAUACUGUACUAAAUGAACCAGAGUUUGACCCUCCGUGAAUAACUCAAGACUAUUGACCUCUUUUUCUUGUUCAUUCUCACAAGAAAACCUUUACUUUUAUUACAUCCCCUUUUAUUUAAGUCUACAUUUGCUUUGUUCUAUCGACUACAGAACAGUUCUAAGUUGAGCAUGGGGAUGGAAGAGGAGUGAAUGAACAUUUUCAUAAUGUAAGCUGACAUCGAUAAAACAAAGGAGAGAGACCAAACUUAAAAAGCACCAGGGAAGGCUUAGCUUCAGACAGAAAAUUUUCUGGAAGACUUUUAAAAUUUGUAGUUGUGUAGAACAGUAAAUGCAAGCAUUUUGAUAGAAUUCAGAAAGUAAUAUUACUUUGUAUGAGAAAAACAUCUUUCUAUUUAUGUAUUGACCAAAUCUAUGUUUUGAUAGUUCAGUUCUUCCCCAUGAUGCUCAGCCUUCUUUAUACGGAGUUGCACAUAACUGUGAGAACUCUUCUUUGUUUUCUGGCUCAAAGCUUGCUUCCUGAGGUAUUUCUUGUGAUAAGACUUUAACUGAUUUAUUGAGGAGGCAAGUGAUGGGUGCUACUGUGACAAUCAACAUCACUUCAUGGACAAUGGAAAGCGCCUUUCUUCAGAGCUGUUCACCUCCAGAAGAGGGUGCUCAGGAGUGUUUACUGGCAGAAGUUCUGGCCUGUGACUAAAUAGCUCCAGCUUGGUAUGAGAAAACUGGGGAAUGAUACCAUCACAUCCUGGGAAAAACAGGAUGCAGGUAGGCAUUCCUGCUCCCUCUUAUCUGUUGGCAAGGUCUGGAAGAUGGGAACAAAGGAAUUACUGCUCUUAUCCCAGAACCAGAAGCUGCCACUCCAAGUAGAGCUGAUUCAACCACUUUGAGCUUAUAAAUAAGUUUGUACUACCACUGAAAAGUCAUUGUCAUCAACAGAAUAACAACACCCACCACUACUGAAGAUCCAUGGCUGAACUAUGAACCACAUUGGACCCAUGAUGGUGACUAUCUUCCUGUUGCUUCCUAUAAAGACUCCUAGCUUCUAUUUCCUAUCUACCUUCUCCCCUUCCCCAUCACCCUAAUUCGUAAUAGUGUCUGUCCUCCCCUUCCCCAUUUCCCUGAUUAAGAUUUGUAAUAAACUGAUCAGACCAACAGUUGAACUGUUGUUUCUUAAUCUCAUGCCAGGUAUACAUAUAUCAAAGAACCUCCUCUCAUCCAACAAAUUGGAGCAAGACAGUAAAACACAACAACGACAGGUACUGCAAGAAUGCUCUGCACAUCUCUUAGUAAUUCUACAACAGUCUCUGUCAGACUUCUUGUAAACCAAGUCCCCUAGCUGCUUGCUCAGUCAUCACUUAUGUAGACCUAAUUCCCAAAUUUUUUUUCAUAAUGUCUCAGGGGCCUGACAAUUUAUUUUGGUUUCUGGUUUGCUUUCAUUCUCUGGAAAGUAGCUGUAUAAUUAACAAAUAUACAAAACGGUGUUGUCAGAUUAGCAUCCACAGAUCAGAAAGCUAGAAAGAUUAUAACAUUAGAAAGGGAUAAUCAGAAACAAAUAGAAAAAUGCUCACCUGUGUUGUAUGCUCACAGGAAAAACUCUAAGAGGAGCAAUCCCAGAAAGAGAUCCUUUCCCAGUGGCAGACAGCCCUUAAAUGGGAUCUAGAAGAGGUGGAGCCAGGCUCCACCCCUUCCGGUCACAGUUGAAUUGCCUUCACCUGUGGUCCUGCAGCUGACUCAGUGCUCACCUCGGGUGAUCAAUUAGAGGUUCAGGCUGUGAUUCAACAGUUCUUAUACAUCACCACCAGGAUCCGGCAGCAGUCCCGUUGCACGACGUUCCGACGGUCCGAGGCCGAAGGGCAGGAGCAGCGAGGCCGGUCUGGGGCAGCGAGAGGAUGCAGGUCAGGGAGGAAGCAGCAGGUCUCAGGUAGCAGGCCCAGGGAAGUCCGUCAGCAAACGGUCCGUAGAGGAGGAUCGGAAGGCAGGAAGCUCGUGCCGUGGUGAGAGAUCAGUCUCCACGUAGAGAUCCAUCUCCACGUUGCGGUGAGAGAUCAGUUGGCAGAGAGAACCCCUCAAGUCUGUCGUGGUGAGAGAUAAGCCUCUCCCGUUGCCGUGGUUGUGGUGAAGGAUCAGCUUCCCCCGUUGUGGUUAUUGGACCCUCUUUUAUCCUCCAUUUUCUGCUGCCUACGUGACAUUCCUGGGGGCUUGAGCAAGAGUCCUGUGCAUACCUCCUGAGAUGGCCAUUUUCCUUGAGAUAAGUCCACACAAAAAGACCGUUUCCCGGCCAUUAGCGGCAGCUUAUCUCUCUCUCGAUGCCCCUGGCCUUGUCCAUCUGUGCUCCUUAA